UACGUAGGGUGCGAGCGUUAAUCGGAAUUACUGGGCGUAAAGCGUGCGCAGGCGGUUUGCUAAGACCGAUGUGAAAUCCCCGGGCCUCAACCUGGGAACUGCAUUGGUGACUGGCAGGCUAGAGUAUGGCAGAGGGGGGUAGAAUUCCACGUGUAGCAGUGAAAUGCGUAGAGAUGUGGAGGAAUACCGAUGGCGAAGGCAGCCCCCUGGGCCCAAUACUGACGCUCAU
rnacentral:rRNA from 1 species